rnacentral:rRNA from 1 species
CCUACGGGGGGCAGCAGUAGGGAAUCUUCCACAAUGGGCGAAAGCCUGAUGGAGCAACGCCGCGUGGGUGAAGAAGGUCUUCGGAUCGUAAAACCCUGUUGUUAGAGAAGACAGUGCGUGAGAGUAACUGUUCACGUUUCGACGGUAUCUAACCAGAAAGCCACGGCUAACUACGUGCCAGCAGCCGCGGUAAUACGUAGGUGGCAAGCGUUAUCCGGAUUUAGUGGGCGUAAAGGGAACGCAGGCGGUCUUUUAAGGCUGAUGUGAAAGCCUUUGGAUUAACCGGAGUAGUGCAUUGGAAACUGGGAGACUUGAGUGCAGAAGAGGAGAGUGGAACUCCAUGUGUAGCGGUGAAAUGCGUAGAUAUAUGGAAGAACACCAGUGGCGAAAGCGGCUCUAUGGUCUGUAACUGACGCUGAGGUUCGAAAGCGUGGGUAGCAAACAGGAUUAGAUACCCUUGUAGUC